GUAGUCAGAGGACGAUGCAGUAAAAAUAUAAAUAGUUGAAAAUGGUAUGGAAAAAUGCCGAAUAAAACUUGUAAAUCUCAUCCAAGGGCUUAAAUCUAAAAAAUGAUUCUGAUGUACGAAACAAACCACCAUACCAUUCUGAUACACACAAGGUUAAGAGCAGAGUAGAUGCACUGUCAACGUAUGUGAGUAACAAACAAAAGCUCUAUGCAAAUUCUCUACAACCACCAGCAGGCACUGAAUAGAUUACUCAAUAUGAAAAUAAGUCACAAGAACA